rnacentral:misc_RNA from 1 species
GAAAGCGCGCAGGCGCAGUGUAGCCGCAAUCGCCAUAGUUGGCUUUACUAGGCGUGUGGUGGCAGUCGCGUCCAUUUUAUGAAUAUAGGUAAACGGCAACUGGAUGAGUGUGAACAAAGUGAGCCACUCGACAUGAGUUUGAAUAAACGGGCCCGAGAUGAACCAGUAAUAAAUGAGUCCCUUGACAUGCGUUUGGAGGAAGGGCAAGAUCCAUCACUACAAAAUUGUCCAUUAGAUUUGUCAAUGGGAAAAAGAAAAUCAGAUGGAAUAAUAAAGUCACCAGUCAGCAGUCUACAUGGGUUAAAGAAAACGGAGGCAGUUGUGAAUGAUGAUUUGUCAUUGGGGAUAGAGAAGUCAGAUGGAGUGAGUGUGUCACCAGUCAGUAGCCUGCAAGAGUUAAAAAAAACUGAGAAAACUGUGGGUCUUGAUUUGUCAAUGGGAGGAAGAAAGUCAGCAGUCAGCAGCCUGCGUGGGGUAAAGAAAAGCAACACAACUGUACAGGGUGAAAGGGCUGCGACAUCUGAGGAGGUGAUAAAAAUACCAUGUGUUGUGGAAGAACCUGGAGUUAGAUACCCCCUUGAUGUUUGGUUCCUCAUAGCAGAUUACAUUGUUCCUGAAAGUGUGGGGAAAUUUGCCAGAAUAUGUAAAGAUUCUCUGCAUGUCACUUACACUGCCAUCUUUUGGUGCAAAUUGUUCAAGAGAUACUGCACUGAUGGCCGCAUCACAGAAGCAUCAUUUAAAGUUGUACGGAAACAACGUGGGUUGAGAACUAGGGUGAUACGGUCAUUGCAUCGCAUCUACAAACCGUUGGCGAUGAAAAGAGAAACAGAUUUAAAUCCACCCAUGUUACUGAACAGAUUGAUUAGGAGCCAGUGGGUUGAGAGUAAUAGAAGAGGCACGGAAUGGAUUUACCACUUUGAAUUGUAUGAUUUUUAUAACAAGAGCAGAUGGAAACCAGAAAAGUUUGACGAAUGGUGGAAUGAUAUCACAGUCAAUCAAUCGGCCUACUGUGUAAUGCUAAAGCACGAACAGCUGGUUUUGGAGAAGUGCAAUAAUCAGUAUGAAAUACCAGUUAAAAUCCGAUGUUCAAAUUUUGCUCUACACUUUACGAAUGGAGCAGGAAAGGGAGGAAAUAAUAGUGAUACAAGAAGUAUCGCCACCACACACAAUAACAUCUUCACGAGAAGUGGAGUUGCCAAAACUUCAGGGACUUGUACUGCGAGAGAUUAUCCUUGUCAAAAUGGAAAAUACAAUGACGAAAAUAAAAUGCAUACUCCACUCUUGCCCUAUGUUAACUAAUAAAGAAAAGAAGGUAUUCAUUUUUCAAACAGAAAUGCCAAUACUACGCACAAGGGUUCUGAAUUGGUGGAGCCCUUACUACCCCCGCAAGGCUCACUGUCCCUUGAGGGGUUGAGCACAAUUUGGCUAAAAAUAUCCAGCCUGGAGAGCCAAAUUCUAUCACAGUAUUCAACAGCACAAAAGUGUAAAUUAUCAGUGGUAAUGCUGAUGAGCCCUAAGAUGUUACUCCGUGAUCCACAUUCAGCAUCCAUUCUUGAUAAGUGUUCUCUGAAAGGGCAUUUUUGUUUAAUUGAUCAUUAAAUAUCCCUAGUGAUAAGCUGUUUUCAAAAAUUACAUUUUAAAAACCUGUUAAAAUCUGUGUUACUCCCAUUGUGACUCAUAUAUUUAGAAACAAGAGCACAAAAGCAUAACUUAUCUGUGUUAAUACAAAUAAUCCCAGUGUUGUUCCUGUAGAAUGAUAUUCAUUGAUCGAUGUUCAGCAUCCAUUCUUGAUAAGUGUUCUCUAAAAGGGCAUUUUUGUUUAAUUGAUCAUUAAAUAUCCCUAGUGAUAAGCUGUUUUCAAAAAUUACAUUUUAAAAGCCUGUUAAAAUCGGUGUUACUCCCAUUGUGACUCGUAUAUUUAGAAACAAGAGCACAAAAGCAUUACUUAUCUGUGUUAAUACAAAUGAUCCCAGUGUUGUUCCUGUAGAAUGAUUUUCGUUGAUCGAUGUUCAGCAUCCAUUCUUGAUAAGUGUUCUCUGAAAGGGCAUUUUUGUUUAAUUGAUCAUUAAAUAUCCCUAGUGAUAAGCUGUUUUCAAAAAUUACAUUUUAAAACUCUGUUAAAAUCUGUGUUACUUUGUUACUCCCAGUGGACACGUAUAUUUAGAAAAGAUAUAUAAAACAUGUAAUAAUGUUUCAAGAUAAAUGUUGAUAUGUACUGCAGUUGAUUCUAGAAUGUGUAUCAGAAGAUAAUAAAACAAUAAAUAUAUGUAUUCCA